rnacentral:rRNA from 1 species
UACGUAGGGUGCAAGCGUUGUCCGGAAUUAUUGGGCGUAAAGAGCUCGUAGGCGGUCUGUCGCGUCGGCUGUGAAAACUCGGGGCUCAACCCCGAGCCUGCAGUCGAUACGGGCAGACUAGAGUGCGGUAGGGGAGACUGGAAUUCCUGGUGUAGCGGUGAAAUGCGCAGAUAUCAGGAGGAACACCGGUGGCGAAGGCGGGUCUCUGGACAGAGUCUGACGCUGAGGCGCGAAAGCUAGGGGAGCAAACAGG